CCUACGGGAGGCAGCAGCAAGGAAUUUUCCGCAAUGGGCGAAAGCCUGACGGAGCAACGCCGCGUGGGGGAGGACGCCUUUCGGGGUGUAAACCCCUUUUCUCGGGGACGACGACCGACGGUACCCGAGGAAGAAGGCCCGGCUAACUACGUGCCAGCAGCCGCGGUAAUACGUAGGGGCCGAGCGUUGUCCGGAAUUACUGGGCGUGAAGCGCGCGCAGGCGGCCACGCGCGCCCGGCGUGAAAGCCCCCGGCUCAACCGGGGAGGGUCGUCGGGGACGGCGUGGCUUGCGGGCGGGAGGGGUCGGUGGAAUUCCCGGUGUAGUGGUGAAAUGCGUAGAGAUCGGGAGGAACACCCGUGGCGAAGGCGGCCGACUGGCCCGACCCGGACGCUGAGGCGCGAAGGCGUGGGGAGCGAACGGGAUUAGAUACCCCAGUAGU
rnacentral:rRNA from 1 species